GAGUUUGAUCGUGGCUCAGGACGAACGCUGGCGGCGUGCUUAACACAUGCAAGUCGAACGGUAAGGCCCUUUCGGGGGUACACGAGUGGCGAACGGGUGAGUAACACGUGGGUGAUCUGCCCUGCACUUUGGGAUAAGCCUGGGAAACUGGGUCUAAUACCGAAUAUUCCUUGUUGGUCGCAUGGCCUGGUGAGGGAAAGCUUUUGCGGUGUGGGAUGGGCCCGCGGCCUAUCAGCUUGUUGGUGGGGUGAUGGCCUACCAAGGCGACGACGGGUAGCCGGCCUGAGAGGGUGUCCGGCCACACUGGGACUGAGAUACGGCCCAGACUCCUACGGGAGGCAGCAGUGGGGAAUAUUGCACAAUGGGCGCAAGCCUGAUGCAGCGACGCCGCGUGAGGGAUGACGGCCUUCGGUUGUAA
rnacentral:rRNA from 1 species